ACACCCAUAUCACGUUGAAACACCGAUUCCCGUACGAUCACCGAAAUUAAGCAACGUUGAAUCUGGUCAGCACCUAGAUGAGUGACUGCUUGGGAAUACCUGGUGCU